CAGCAGCCGCGGUAAUGCGUAGGUGGCAAGCGUUGUCCGGAAUUAUUGGGCGUAAAGCGCGCGCAGGCGGAUCAGUCAGUCUGUCUUAAAAGUUCGGGGCUUAACCCCGUGAUGGGAUGGAAACUGCUGAUCUAGAGUAUCGGAGAGGAAAGUGGAAUUCCUAGUGUAGCGGUGAAAUGCGUAGAUAUUAGGAAGAACACCAGUGGCGAAGGCGACUUUCUGGACGAAAACUGACGCUGAGGCGCGAAAGCCAGGGGAGCGAACGGGAUUAGAUACCCCCGUAGUCCCUGUCUCUUAUACC
rnacentral:rRNA from 1 species